AUUAAGGCAGAGAAUCGGCAACGCUGUUUUUCUAUCUUUAUCCACUGCCAUUAUAACGUGGACCUUACUAUAGAAUACGUAUUCUAGGUACCUUGCUCUAGAUUAUAGUUCUAUAUUAACAUAGUUAUGAAUUCAUGUCCCAUGUAUUAAAUUUCAACAUUAAUUCUGAAAAAUCUAGAAGCAAAAUUGAAAUUCGGUCUUCGAGGUGCACGAGAUUGAUAUUUUUAGAAUCUAUGUGCAAAAUUUGAAGAUCUAAAUCAUUCCCGUUUUUCCGGUAUGCAAUCCACAAGUUGGCAUGUUUUGAUGCGAACAAACACAACCCUACUGUACUCUCUCUUAUUAUAUAGAUUCUUCUGCGACCAGAACAGCCGGCUGAACGAGCUGAUGGCCGAGACCAAGACCACGGAGUAAAGAACACUCAUUGUUAUGUAUUCUGUGCCAAGACCGAGAUAUCGCUGGCUCCCCCCUCCACUGGCAAGGACCAGAUAGCUAUAGCUGGUGACAAGGAGGGAGUGCAAGCUGCCAAGGACCACAUCAUGGCUGUCUACAACGAAAUGCACUGACGAUGAUAUAGGAGAAGGCGAACAGCGUAGUGGAGCAGUACCUAGACGUGCCCUCCUAGAUCCACCGACAUCUGAUCGGCAAAAAGGGCGCCGACAUUCUCAAGACAAAGGAGGACAGCCCCAAGGUCUAUUUCGAAAAGAACAAGGACCGCCAGGAGAAGGACAAUCGUAUCAGAAUAGAAGGU